GACGAACGCUGGCGGCGUGCUUAACACAUGCAAGUCGAACGGUGAAAGUGGAGCUUGCUCCGCUGGAUCAGUGGCGAACGGGUGAGUAACACGUGGGCAACCUGCCCCUGACUUCGGGAUAACUCCUCGAAAGAGGUGCUAAUACCGGAUACGAAUCCUGCAGGCAUCUGCGGGAUUGGAAAGUUUUUCGGUCAGGGAUGGGACCGGGGCCUAUCAGCUUGUUGGUGAGGUUGUGGCUCACCAAGGCGACGACGGGUAGCCGGCCUGAGAGGGCGACCGGCCACACUGGGACUGAGACACGGCCCAGACUCCUACGGGAGGCAGCAGUGGGGAAUAUUGCACAAUGGGCGCAAGCCUGAUGCAGCAACGCCGCGUGAGGGAUGACGGCCUUCGGGUUGUAAACCUCUUUUAGCAGGGAAGAAGCGAAAGUGACGGUACCUGCAGAAAAAGCACCGGCUAACUACGUGCCAGCAGCCGCCGUAA
rnacentral:rRNA from 1 species